rnacentral:rRNA from 1 species
AAUGCGUAGGAAUCUGUCUUUGAGUGGGGGACAACCCAGGGAAACUUGGGCUAAUACCGCAUAAGCCCUGAGGGGGAAAGCGGGGGAUCUUCGGACCUCGCGCUGGAAGAGGAGCCUACGUCUGAUUAGCUAGUUGGUAGGGUAAAGGCCUACCAAGGCGACGAUCGGUAGCUGGUCUGAGAGGACGACCAGCCACACUGGGACUGAGACACGGCCCAGACUCCUACGGGAGGCAGCAGUGGGGAAUUUUUCGCAAUGGGGGCAACCCUGACGAAGCAAUGCCGCGUGAAUGAAGAAGGCCUUCGGGUUGUAAAGUUCUUUCGUGGAGGACGAAAAGGUGGGUGCUAAUAACGCCUGCUGUUGACGUGAAUCCAAGAAGAAGCACCGGCUAACUCCGUGCCAGCAGCCGCGGUAAUACGGGGGGUGCAAGCGUUAAUCGGAAUCACUGGGCGUAAAGGGUGCGUAGGCGGUGCAUUAGGUCUGUCGUGAAAUCCCCGGGCUCAACCUGGGAAUGGCGGUGGAAACCGGUGUACUAGAGUAUGGGAGAGG